CGAAGCGGGGGGCGGAGGCUACAGGAACUACCCAAUUAGAGGCCACCGGAAACGGUUGUCGAGAGUCAUUCCACUAGGCAAGAGGAGGUCGCUUCCUGUUAAAUGGUCUUUGUAAACAUGUCUCACUGAAGCACUUGAGGUUCCCUUUCCUGUGGACUUACAGUGGUUGUGGGAGCCGUGCGGAGGCCUCUAGAUCACCCGUGAAGCCGGGAAUGGUGAGUGUGGACCCAGCCUCGGGACUCCAGGGACGACCUGGAACCUGUUGUUUCGGCAGUCCUAGAGUCCCGCGCCCGCCUCCGCCACUGCCUACUCGGCACUCGGUCUCCUCCAAGCCUCGGGGUGAGGCUAUGAUGGCAGCCGGAUCCACUGCAAACUGCCUUGCCCUGGGCAGUGAUAUCGCACCAGCCUGGAGUCCAGUGUCUCCGCAGUGUGUGCGUGGGCGGAGAGGCACGAGGCGACUCCUGACUGGAAGGAAAAAAGUUUGGAAGUCAAUAGUUUUGCAGAUUGGUACCCAAAUUGGGAAGAAGACAAGGUUAAAAGAUAUAUGA
rnacentral:lncRNA from 1 species